rnacentral:tRNA from 3 species
GAUGAACCCUAAAAAGUUCUUUAAACA